rnacentral:rRNA from 1 species
GGGGAGGCAGCAGUGGGGAAGUAUUGCACAAUGGGGGAAACCCUGAUGCAGCCAUGCCGCGUGUGUGAAGAAGGACCUUCGGGUUGUAAAGCACUUUCAGUAGGGAGGAAGGGUAGUGUAGUUAACACCUGCAUUAUUUGACGUUACCUACAGAAGAAGCACCGGCUAACUCCGUGCCAGCAGCCGCGGUAAUACGGAGGGUGCGAGCGUUAAUCGGAAUUACUGGGCGUAAAGCGCAUGCAGGCGGCCUGUUAAGUCAGAUGUGAAAGACCCGGGGCUUAACCUCGGAAUUGCAUUUGAAACUAGGCAGGCUAGAGUCUUGUAGAGGGGGGUAGGAAUUUCAGGUGUAGCGGUGAAAUGCGUAGAGAUCUGAAGGAAUACCAGUGGCGAAGGCGGCCCCCUGGACAAAGACUGACGCUCAGAUGCGAAAGCGUGGGGAGCAAACAGGAUUAGAUACCCCUGGUAG